AUCAGUUUCCUUCUGACGUUGCAAAGCCUUCAGAGGGGAUAAAGCCCACUUGUAUAAAGGGUCAUGGAUAAAGACCUCAAUAAUGGUUAGCAAUGCUUCUUUGUUUGUCCUCAUAACAGACAGGGUUUCCUCACAGCAUCUUCUAAAAACCCCUUCCACCCCAGUUAUGCCCAUGCCAUCUAUUAUGUCUCUACUCAGCCUGAAGGGUACCCUUUCGGGAGUUUUCAGCAUAAGGCCCUGCUCAAAUGCAACGCCAAGAUCUAUGUGAACAACUUCUGCAGUGGCUUGAUCUACAAGGAUAUUCAUGGAAUGCCG
rnacentral:misc_RNA from 1 species